UACGGAGGGGGCUAGCGUUGUUCGGAAUUACUGGGCGUAAAGCGCACGUAGGCGGAUUGGAAAGUUGGGGGGUGAAAUCCCGGGGGCUCAACCCCCGGAACUGCCUUCAAAACUCCCAGUCUGGAGGUCGAGAGAGGUGAGUGGAAUUCCGAGUGUAGAGGUGAAAUUCGUAGAUAUUCGGAAGAACACCAGUGGCGAAGGCGACUCGCUGGACAAGUAUUGACGCUGAGGUGCGAAAGCGUGGGGAGCAAACAGG
rnacentral:rRNA from 1 species